ensembl:lncRNA AMZ2P1 AMZ2 pseudogene 1
GCACGCGCGUGAGGGAUGUCGCGGUCUCGUGGUGGAACAUCUGACCCUUUUCAAGAGGAAGGAUGAAAACUCUACAUAGGAACACGAUGUGAAUGGAAGAAACCUGUCAUUAUGCAAAUAGUACGGUAUUCCGAACAGACACUAAAAAUAGCUGUCAUCUCAAAGAAUCCAGUGCUUGUGUCACAGUAUGAGAAAGUAGAUGCUGGGGAACAGCGUUUAAUGAAUGAAGCAUUCCAGCCAGCCAGUGAUCUCUUUGGACCUUGCAUUCUCCAUCAGAUUGGAUCACCUCCCACCCUGAGGCCCCCCAAGACUUUGAACAGUUCUUCAGUCAUCCUUACAGAAAGAUACCCUCUCCAGACAAACGCAGUAUUUAUAUACGGUCCAUUGGAUCUCUAUGAAGCACCAGAAUUAUCAGUGAAGAAUAUAUUAAAUGGCUCACGGGCUACUGUAAAGCAUAUUUCUAUCGCUUGAGAGUAAAACUGCUAGAACCAGUUCCUGUUUCUACAACAAGGUGUUCCUUUAGAGUCAAUGAGAACACACAAAACCUACAAAUUCAUGCAGGGGACAUCCUGAAGUUCUUGAAAAAGAAGAAACCUGAAGAUGCCUUCUGUGUUGUGGGAAUAACAAUGAUUGAUCUUUACCCAAGAGACUUGUGGAAUUUUGUCUUUGGACAGGCCUCUUUGACAGAUGGUAUUCCGUUUUUGGCAUUGUUGUUAGAAGCUUCUUCAACUUGAGAAUAUUUGAAGAUGUUAAAAGAGGGAAAAAAAUUCCAACCAAGAAUCAUAUUGAUAUUUAAAACUAUAGUAUUUUCAGUUGAGACAUUAUGCCAUAAUGGGAAGUGUGCUGUUGGUAGAUUGUGAUAAUCUAGGUUCUGGUUGGCCACUCACUACCUACAGGACCUUAAAGGCACUGGUGAGGUGGAUUGAUGAUGAAUCUUCUGGCACACCUGGAGCAACUCCAGAACACAGUCGUGAGGAUAAUGGGAAUUUACUGAAACCCGUGGAAGGAAGCCUUUAAGGAAUGGAAAGAGUGGAUAAUAAAAUGCCUGACUGUUCUCCAAAAAUAAGGACCUUCAAAUAGGAGUGAUUGAAAUAAAUGACUACUUGCAUGUUAUGCUUUCAUUUGGGUGGAAUACUUCAUCAGAAUAAACUAUUGAUCUUGUGCUGUGUCAAAGUAACAGACUAGAACCUUCUUUCAAGUACCUGAAUUGAAAUGAAACUCAUUUUGAAUAAUAAAAACUCUAGAAACUCU